rnacentral:rRNA from 1 species
UCUGACCUCAAAUCAGGUAGGACUACCCGCUGAACUUAAGCAUAUCAAUAAGCGGAGGAAAAGAAACUAACAAGGAUUCCCCUAGUAACUGCGAGUGAAGCGGGAAAAGCUCAAAUUUAAAAUCUGGCAGCUUUGGCUGUCCGAGUUGUAGUCUGGAGAAGUGUUUUCUGUGCUGGACCGUGUACAAGUCUCUUGGAACAGAGCGUCGUAGAGGGUGAGAAUCCCGUCUUUGACACGGACUCCCAGUGCUUUGUGAUGCGCUCUCAAAGAGUCGAGUUGUUUGGGAAUGCAGCUCAAAAUGGGUGGUAAAUUCCAUCUAAAGCUAAAUAUUGGCGAGAGACCGAUAGCGAACAAGUACCGUGAGGGAAAGAUGAAAAGCACUUUGGAAAGAGAGUUAAACAGUACGUGAAAUUGCUGAAAGGGAAACGAUUGAAGUCAGUCGCGUUGGCCAGAACUCAGCCUGGCUUUUGCCUGGUGCAUUUUCUGGUUGACGGGCCAGCAUCAAUUUUGAUCGCUGGAUAAAGGCCUUGGGAAUGUGGCACCUUCGGGUGUGUUAUAGCCCUUGGUUGUAUACAGUGGUUGGGAUUGAGGAUCACAGCAUGCCUUUAUGGCCGGGGUUCGCCCACGUUCAUGCUUAGGAUGCUGGCGUAAUGGCUUUAAACGACCCGUCUUGAAACACGGACCAAGGAGUCUAACAUGCCUGCGAGUGUUUGGGUGGAAAACCCGAGCGCGCAAUGAAAGUGAAAGUUGGGAUCCCUGUCGCGGGGAGCACCGACGCCCGGACCAGACCUUCUGUGACGGAUCCGCGGUAGAGCAUGUAUGUUGGGACCCGAAAGAUGGUGAACUAUGCCUGAAUAGGGUGAAGCCAGAGGAAACUCUGGUGGAGGCUCGUAGCGAUUCUGACGUGCAAAUCGAUCGUCAAAUUUGGGUAUAGGGGCGAAAGACUAAUCGAACCAUCUAGUAGCUGGUUCCUGCCGAAGUUUCCCUCAGGAUAGCAGAAACUCAUGUCAGAUUUAUGUGGUAAAGCGAAUGAUUAGAGGCCUUGGGGUUGAAACAACCUUAACCUAUUCUCAAACUUUAAAUAUGUAAGA